GACGAACGCUGUCGGCGUGCUUAACACAUGCAAGUCGAACGGAAAGGCCCUGCUUUUGUGGGGUGCUCGAGUGGCGAACGGGUGAGUAACACGUGAGUAACCUGCCCUUGACUUUGGGAUAACUUCAGGAAACUGGGGCUAAUACCGGAUAGGAGCUCCUGCUGCAUGGUGGGGGUUGGAAAGUUUCGGCGGUUGGGGAUGGACUCGCGGCUUAUCAGCUUGUUGGUGGGGUAGUGGCUUACCAAGGCUUUGACGGGUAGCCGGCCUGAGAGGGUGACCGGCCACAUUGGGACUGAGAUACGGCCCAGACUCCUACGGGAGGCAGCAGUGGGGAAUAUUGCACAAUGGGCGGAAGCCUGAUGCAGCAACGCCGCGUGCGGGAUGACGGCCUUCGGGUUGUAAACCGCUUUCGCCCGUGACGAAGCGUGAGUGACGGUAAUGGGUAAAGAAGCACCGGCUAACUACGUGCCAGCAGCCGCGGUGAUACGUAGGGUGCGAGCGUUGUCCGGAUUUAUUGGGCGUAAAGGGCUCGUAGGUGGUUGAUCGCGUCGGAAGUGUAAUCUUGGGGCUUAACCCUGAGCGUGCUUUCGAUACGGGUUGACUUGAGGAAGGUAGGGGAGAAUGGAAUUCCUGGUGGAGCGGUGGAAUGCGCAGAUAUCAGGAGGAACACCAGUGGCGAAGGCGGUUCUCUGGGCCUUUCCUGACGCUGAGGAGCGAAAGCGUGGGGAGCGAACAGGCUUAGAUACCCUGGUAGUCCACGCUGUAAACGGUGGGUACUAGGUGUGGGGUCCAUUCCACGGGUUCCGUGCCGUAGCUAACGCUUUAAGUACCCCGCCUGGGGAGUACGGCCGCAAGGCUAAAACUCAAAGGAAUUGACGGGGCCCCGCACAAGCGGCGGAGCAUGCGGAUUAAUUCGAUGCAACGCGUAGAACCUUACCUGGGUUUGACAUGGAUCGGGAGUGCUCAGAGAUGGGUGUGCCUCUUUUGGGGUCGGUUCACAGGUGGUGCAUGGCUGUCGUCAGCUCGUGUCGUGAGAUGUUGGGUUAAGUCCCGCAACGAGCGCAACCCUUGUUCACUGUUGCCAGCACGUUAUGGUGGGGACUCAGUGGAGACCGCCGGGGUCAACUCGGAGGAAGGUGGGGAUGACGUCAAGUCAUCAUGCCCCUUAUGUCCAGGGCUUCACGCAUGCUACAGUGGCUGGUACAGAGAGUGGCGAGCCUGUGAGGGUGAGCGAAUCUCGGAAAGCCGGUCUCAGUUCGGAUUGGGGUCUGCAACUCGACCUCAUGAAGUCGGAGUCGCUAGUAAUCGCAGAUCAGCAACGCUGCGGUGAAUACGUUCCCGGGGCU
rnacentral:rRNA from 1 species